AUUGAACGCUGGCGGCAGGCCUAACACAUGCAAGUCGAACGAGUGGCGGACGGGUGAGUAAUGUCUGGGAAACUGCCUGAUGGAGGGGGAUAACUACUGGCAACGGUAGCUAAUACCGCAUACCAUCGGAUGUGCCCAGAUGGGAUUAGCUAGGUGGUGGGGUAAAGGCUCACCUAGGGGACGAUCCCUAGCUGGUCUGAGAGGGUGACCGGCCAAACUGGGACUGGGACACGGGCCAGACUCCUACGGGAGGCAGCAGUGGGGAAUAUUGCGAAAUGGGGGGAAGCCUGAUGCAGCCAUGCCGCGUGUAUGAAGAAGGCCUUCGGGUUGUAAAGGUCUUUUAGCGGGGAGGCGUUACCCGCAGCAGAAGCACCGGCUAACUCCGUGCCAGCCGCCGCGGUAAAUUC
rnacentral:rRNA from 1 species